rnacentral:rRNA from 1 species
GCUAAUCUGCGAUAAGCGCCGGUAAGGUGAUAUGAACCGUUAUAACCGGCGAUACCCGAAUGGGGAAACCCAGUGUGAUUCGUCACACUAUCAUUAACUGAAUCCAUAGGUUAAUGAGGCGAACCGGGGGAACUGAAACAUCUAAGUACCCCGAGGAAAAGAAAUCAACCGAGAUUCCCCCAGUAGCGGCGAGCGAACGGGGAGGAGCCCAGAGCCUGAAUCAGCAUGUGUGUUAGUGGAAGCGUCUGGAAAGGCGCGCGAUACAGGGUGACAGCCCCGUACACAAAAGCGCAUGUGCUGUGAGCUCGAUGAGUAGGGCGGGACACGUGGUAUCCUGUCUGAAUAUGGGGGGACCAUCCUCCAAGGCUAAAUACUCCUGACUGACCGAUAGUGAACCAGUACCGUGAGGGAAAGGCGAAAAGAACCCCGGCGAGGGGAGUGAAAAAGAACCUGAAACCGU